AACGAACGCUGGCGGCGUGCCUAACACAUGCAAGUCGAGCGAGAAAGCCCGCAAGGGUGAGUACAGCGGCGCACGGGUGCGUAACACGUGGGUAAUCUGCCCUGAAGCCCGGAAUAACCUCCCGAAAGGGAAGCUAAUACCGGAUAAGACCACGGGAGCCUCGGCUCCUGCGGGAAAAGGUGGCCUCUGCAUGCAAGCUAUCAUUUCAGGAUGAGCCCGCGGCCCAUCAGCUCGUUGGCGGGGUAAUGGCCCACCAAGGCUACGACGGGUAGCUGGUCUGAGAGGACGAUCAGCCACACUGGAACUGAGACACGGUCCAGACUCCUACGGGAGGCAG
rnacentral:rRNA from 1 species